rnacentral:rRNA from 1 species
CCUACGGGAGGGAGCAGUGAGGAAUAUUGGACAUAUGGAUGGAAAGUCUGGCAUCCAGCCAUGCCGCGUGCAGGAAGACGGCCCUAUGGGUUUGUAAACCUGCUUUUGUAUGGGAGCAAUAAGGUCUAUGCGUUAGCACUAGAUGAGAGUAACCCCCAUACGAAUAAGCAUCGGCUAACUCCGUGCCAGCAGUCCGCGGUAUACUACGGGGGAUGCAUGGCCGUUAUCCGGAUUUAUUGGGUUUCAAAGGGUGCGUAGGCGGUUUGAUAAGUCAGCGGUGAAAGUAUUUCAAGCUUAACUGAAAGGGUGCCGUUCGAUACUGUCAGGCAUUGAAUAUGCCUCUGCUGUGGGUGGAAUGUGUGGUGUAGCGGUGAUAAUGAUUCUUAGAUAUCACACAGAAUAUCGAUUGCGAAGGCAGCUCACAAAGCCAUUAUUGACGCUGAUGCUCCAAAGUGUGGGGAUCAAACAGGAUUAGAUACCCUUGGUAGUCCACACUGUAAACGAUGAUAACUCGCUGUCGGCGAUACACAGUCGGUAGCCAAAGCGAAAGCGAUAAGUUAUCCACCUGGGGAGUACGACCGCAAGGUUGAAACUCAAAGGAAUUGACGGGGGCCCGCACAAGCGGAGGAACAUGUGGUUUAAUUCGAUGAUACGCGAGGAACCUUACCCGGGCUCGAACGGUGCAGGAAUGCGUCAGAGAUGAUGUAGCUAGCAAUAGUCUGUAUCGAGGUGCUGCAUGGUUGUCGUCAGCUCGUGCCGUGAGGUGUCAGCCUUAAGUGCCAUAACGAGCGCAACCCUUUGUCAUUAGUUGCCAUCACGGUAAUGCUGGGGAACUCUAGCGAAACUGCCACCGCUAAGGUGUGAGGAAGGGGGGGAUGACCUCAAAUCAGACACGACCCUUACGUCCAGGGGCGACACACCUCGUUUACAAUGGUAGGGUACAAAGGGCAGCUACCCAAGCAAUGGGGUGCGAAUCUCACAAAGCCUAUCUCACUUCGGAUCGGAGUCUGCAACUCUACUCCGUAAAGU